rnacentral:lncRNA from 1 species
AUCCCCUGAGUGUGGGCAUGAGCCUUUGUCUGCCUGUAGAGAACCCAGAACUGUACCAGACACAAAUAUUAAUAGAUGCUUGGGGAGUACUUCUAAUUGAGGGUGAAUUUUAAAAUGAACUAAGCAAAAAAAAAAAAAAAAAAAAAAGAAGCAAGCAAACGGCGUUUAUUGAACACGUGCUACAUGCAGUUCCACAGAUGAUAAAGUAGGGAGAGGAACUGGGAGUGCUGCUGUAGGAAAUUUGGGAGUCAGUUUAUCUACCCAUCCAGCCGUCCAUUCAUGAGUGCCUACUGCAUGCCGAGCUCUGUACUGGGGGCUGGAGAUGCGGACCAGCAUCGGCUCUAGGAAGCCUCCGGCCAGGAGAGGGGAGAGACAAGGGACAGCUGCUGUUUAAUUAAAGAGGACUGAAGAUAGAACCAGAAAGCUCGAUUGUCUAGAGAGACUGCAGCCACACGACAAGACACCGCAUCCUGUAAUCUGCUCCUUUCUAGCUGUGUGACUUCAGGAUGUUACUUAACCUCUCUGAGCCUCAGUAGCUUUGUCAAGGACACAGGAUGUCCUUGUUGGGUAAAAUGAGGGAUUCUUGUAACAGAAAAAAAAAGAAGAAGGCGAGAGAAGAAAAUGCAUGCGUGAGCAGCCAGGCAAGAAGACGUGAGCUGUGCGUGGUUCGUCUCCUUUGGGCGACACCCAGCAAGGAGUCCUUGGCCACUUGCCCCUGCGUUUCUAGUCAUAAGGCCCUCACCAUCCCCUCUAAGAGAAAUGUCUCUAAUAAGGACCAUCAGUGUAACACAGGAAACUAUAUUCAGUAUCUUGCAAUAACCUAUAAUGGAAAAGAAUCGGAAAAGGAAUAUAUACAUGUAUAACUGAAUCGCUUUGCUGUAUACCUGAAAUUAACACAACGUUGUAAGUCAAUUAACU